CAGAGAGAGAAGGAAACUGGCAUGCUGCUGCGUGGUCUUUAAUGAGACUGACUGACAUGGUUGAGUGGAGACAAGGCAUCUCUGGUGGCACUCUGAUCUGCACGUAGGCCAACAUUCACAUGUCUGCAGACCUGGAACAAAGGACAUAUGCACAUACGUUAUUGGCAGCAGGUGCUUAUAGGUUUACCUUACGACCUUUUGGAGGACGCCGACCCCUAGUUUGGGAAACACUGGACUAAAUGUGGUGGACGGGGCAACAAAAAUAAAAAGGACACCAGCGCACAAAAUGUUGUGAUGCAUUUAUGGUGAAACAGCUUAGUCAGGGUUAGGAUAAGCACCCUUGAGGGCUCUUUAUCAUAUUACAUAUAGGGGCAAUUAGGAGGGCACUUUUUUGGGUCCACCAGUGGUGUAUAAAGUAAUUACUAGCUCCAACGCUAUAAUGCCACUAGUAACAGUAACAAUUUCACAAUGUAAUAGACUAAAAUAUCAAUCACAGGCCCCUUUUUUUCCUGCUGAAUUAAUACAUUUACUUUAAUACUUUAAGUAUAUUUUGCCGAUAAUUCUGUAUUUAUUUCUGAUUUUAAAUGUUAAAGUAUUGGCAUCUUUACUUAAGUAAAUCCUUAAAGGAUAUAAGUACUUUUCCACCACUGUACAUUAUACACUAUAGGCAUGUUUACAACAUGCACACAUUUCACACCAGUGUCACUUACAAGAAGCUAUCUGACCAACAUCUAAUUUUUUGCUUUUAGACAGCGCAGCCACAACAGCCUCCCUUAUCUGCAUCCUCCAUCAGCUCUACACAAAGCAACGUGCAGCCAGGCCCACGUUGGAGAAGCCUGAUGCCGACGUGAAGGGCAGCGUCUGAGGGUGUAAAGCAGCUGUCUGCCCCGGUCAGGGCGGAGGGGGAAACGCAGCAGCCUUAUCACUCCUGUAAUACAGUGCAGUUCAGUGGGCACAGAGGAAGCUGGGCUGUGCUUGCUCUCAGAUCCUUACUGGAAUUCACAACAAAACAACAAUAGCUUUCUGACUAAUCUCAUGUCACACACGAUGAAAAAUAAUAGUUUCAGUGGCCUAUGAUAAAACAUGGGGGAAAAAUUGUCUUCGUAACACUGAAGGUGUUAAACACAGGCUCAGCAUUGUUCCAGGCAAACGUGAAUAGCUUUAUUGUUCAUAUCCUCUCAGAGAAAGUUGUUAUGGAAAAGGUAGAGCCUGGUAGAUAAAUAACUCAGCUCUGGAAAACACAGCAACAGGGCAUUACCGUAAAACAAUAAUCUUAUCUUUACAUCAUGUGAGCAGUACCGUUUGUUGUUUGAUAAGUUCCACAUUUACAUUUUAAUUAUGUAUGUGUGUGUUUUGGUGAGAAAUAAAGAGACACCAUGCAACAAUAAAGCUACCAGAUCAUAGUCAGAUUUAAGCCUAGGCCAUAGAUGACCUUUGGUGGAGUAUGCAUUGUGCUGCAGUGACAUCGUUUUGUUAUAAUUGUUGAUAUUUUCACAUUGAGUUGGCCCUCUCUUUUUCUCUCUUUUCCUCCACCACAGACUGCACCAUGUUGAACAUCUCCUCCCACGCACUUGCUCACUUUGACACAUCAGUGAGCUACAGAGUUGCAUGCUCUCUCCUCUCUCUCUCUCUCUCUCUCUCUCUCUCUCUCUCUCUCUCUCUCUCUCUCUCUCUCUCUCUCUGUCUGUCUUUGUGUCAAAUAAGGACAAGCAUUGAUCUGGGCAAAAUCAAGAGAAGGGCAUGUAGAAUAAACAUGAUUUGGUUUACAGAAGAUCUUUAUCUCAAUCAGACCACAAAAUUUCCAAAUUUCAUCAGAAAAGAAAAGAUGAUUGUUUUAUGAGAAAGUCAACAUUCUGUGAGGUGGCAAUAGCAGAAAAUUGGUGGAAAAUCCAACAGCCACACUGUAUGUGCUCAUGUAUGGGUUCACGCUGGGUGUCUGUACAUGUAUAAUCAAUAUUCACUAUUCCAUCUUUCCUUAUUUUC